CCUACGGGUGGCAGCAGUGGGGAAUAUUGGGCAAUGGGCGCAAGCCUGACCCAGCAACGCCGCGUGAAGGAAGAAGGCUUUCGGGUUGUAAACUUCUUUUCUGAGGGACGAAGAAAGUGACGGUACCUCAGGAAUAAGCCACGGCUAACUACGUGCAGGCAGCCGAGGUAAUACGUAGGUGGCAAGCGUUAUCCGGAUUUAGUGGGUGUAAGGGGCGUGUAGGCGGGAAAGCAAGUCAGAUGUGAAAACUCAGGGCUCAACCCUGAGCCUGCAUUUGAAAAUGUUUUUCUUGAGUGCUGGAGAGGCAAUCGGAAUUCCGUGGGUAGCGGUGAAAUGCGUAGAUAUACGGAGGAACACCAGUGGCGAAGGCGGAUUGCUGGACAGUAACUGACGCUGAGGCGCGAAAGCGUGGGGAGCAAACAGGAUUAGAUACCCUAGUAGUC
rnacentral:rRNA from 1 species